rnacentral:rRNA from 1 species
UACGUAGGGUGCAAGCGUUAAUCGGAAUUACUGGGCGUAAAGCGUGCGCAGGCGGUUUGUAAGUCUGACCGUGAAGCCCCGGGCUCAACCCUGGGAAUUGCGAAUGGAGACGUGCAAGGCUUGAAUCUGGCAGAGGGGGGUAGAAGUUCCGACGUGUAGCAGUGAAAUGCGUAGAGAUGUGGAGGAACACCGAUGGCGAAGGCAGCCCCUCGGGUCAAGAUUGACGCUCAUGCACGAA